GCCCAGGUUAGAGGGUUGGAUCUACGUAUCCGAGAGGGACUCAUCUUUCCAUCUUGUCUGCCUAGACAAGUGUCCCUUAUCUAUCAGAGUACACAGCCCACUGUGUCCAGUUGGAGCAGCCAGGAUGUGCGUGGAUGUAGGGCCAUCUAUUGGAUCAUUGGUAGUCUCCCAGUGGCCACAUCCUUGAGGAAAACUGGCUCUGCCGCCAUCAGCUGCCAUAGCUCCUCAGGUUGCAUUCUCUGGAAGGAAGCCACGAAGUGCAGCCACACUUAAGGAAGGAGGCAUUGUGCUCCUUGAGGGCAGAGAAUGAGAGAAGUAAAUAAAAAUUAGAGGAGUAGUGCCAUGUUUGUGAGGGAAACCCUGAUGGAAACCUUGAAGAGGAUUCCAAGUAUUCAAGACAUGACUUCAGCAUGACCAGCCAGCGCCUGGUGCUCAGUAAAUGAGAGCUUUGGGACCUAUUCCUCCUUUAUUGUUGGUCACGGGAAGAGCUGUCAAUCUGCUGUGAGGUGGACUUACUUUGUCUUUUCCUGAAGACUUUUGAUUUCAGGACUUUCAGAAAUGUGAACUCCAUUCUCAAGUUUUAGAGCAUUUCCAAACAGGUGGAAAGCUGGAUCCGCCCACGGGCUGUAGCUGGCUGCCCUGUGGCAUCAUCCAGUGGCCUGGUGGCUCUGUAAUAUUUUCCACAGCUGCUGCUCCGUUUUACCAGCCCAGACCUUCCGCAUCCCACCCCUGCACACCAACUCCCACCUCAGGGUAGGAGAGGUCCAAUUCACUCACUUAGACAUUUUCUCCUGGACUUCCAAUUCCUAAUGUCCAGACCUUUCCUGUAGGCUCUGUGGAAAGUCGUCUCAUUAGGUGACAACAGAUUCUAAAAUCUAAAUGGGAAACCGGGCUGCUCACUGAUGCCCAGCACUGUGCUGGCUCCUUGCAGGGCGGGGACUCUGUGCAGCUCAGGCUCACGGGCUCCUUUAUGAACAUCUUCCAGCUCUAGCAGGUGAGCAUGCUGGCCUAUGACAUCGUUAUUCUCCCUCACAAACUCAGUGAGGAGAAACAGUGAAUCCAACUCUCAGGGGCAAGUAGGAAAAGCAGGGCACGAGUCAGGUUCCUACUCACCAGAGAUUGGCUGUUGAUUUUUCUCAUCAGGAGCCAGCGGGACUAGAGAUUGCCCUGGGUAGGGCAGAGGAAGCAUCAGAGAGUAGAAGGGCUGGGUGCCAGGCAGGCUAGUUGUGUCCAGCCUGGAGUUAUAUGACUUUCAAGAGACAGGUGGAAUCAACCACUACAGCACAGCCUCAGAGCAUGAGGCUGAGGGGCCAGAGGCUGGCCAAGAACACACAAGAAUAAGGCAGGGUCUGGGCAGGCCCCAGAGGCAAGCAUGGGAGCCUUUGCAUUCUGCUCUGUCUGCUAGUCUGGACUCAUAGCCUGUCAUUCCCCUUCCUCAAAUACCAACAAUAGAAAAAGAACACCUGGCUUAGGCCUCCCUGUGUGGUACCUCCUCUUCCUGUACCCUCCAUCCCAACACAUGUUGUUUGCACAGACUGAAAUCUGAACCCUCUACAUCAUCUCUAAAUAAAUAAAUAAAGCAUU